rnacentral:rRNA from 1 species
CCCUUAGAGUUUGAUCCUGGCUCAGGAUUAACGCUAGCGGCAGGCCUAAUACAUGCAAGUCGAACGGCAGCACGGGUAGCAAUACCUGGUGGCGAGUGGCGCACGGGUGCGUAACGCGUAUGCAAUCUACCUAUAACUGGGGAAUAGCCUUCCGAAAGGAAGAUUAAAACCGCAUAAUAUCACGAAGCGGCAUCGUUUUGUGAUCAAAUCUCCGGAGGUUAUAGAUGAGCAUGCGUGACAUUAGCUAGUUGGUGAGGUAACGGCUCACCAAGGCUACGAUGUCUAGGGGGUCUGAGAGGAUGAUCCCCCACACUGGUACUGAGACACGGACCAGACUCCUACGGGAGGCAGCAGUAAGGAAUAUUGGACAAUGGGCGCAAGCCUGAUCCAGCCAUGCCGCGUGCAGGAUGAAGGUGCUCUGCAUUGUAAACUGCUUUUGUUUGGGAAUAAACCCUUCUACGUGUAGAAGGCUGAAUGUACCAAAAGAAUAAGGGACGGCUAACUUCGUGCCAGCAGCCGCGGUAAUACGAAG